rnacentral:tRNA from 1 species
GUUGUGGCUCAGUGGUAGAGUACUUGCCUAGCAUGCAUGAGGCACUGGGUUCAAUUCUCAGCACCACA